UAGAGAGAGAGAGAGAGAGAGAGAGAGAGAGAGAGAGAGAGAGAGAGAGAGUGUAGCGGAACAGCCCCCAUUUGUACCUUGUGUUUGCAUGCCCGAACACAUGGGCUUAAAUCCCUAAAACUUGGCUGUUUGUUUUCUGAGUUGGUAUCUUUGUCUCCUUAUCGUUUUUGGGGAGAUAUAGAUUAAUGGUCUUUCAGCUUCCGCUGUAAUUCUGGGUUGUUGUCGCAAUGUCUUGUUCCUCUGAGAAAGAGGUGGAGCAGCAGCUCAAGGAGGCUGGAAAUACUCUCCUCAACCCUCCUUUUGCUACCGACGAGCUUCUCAAAAUCCUUGGCGAAGCUGAGGGUUUGUUGUCAAAUGUUGAGCAAGCACCACUCAGAUCCAUGCAAGAUGCACUUCUACCAAUAAUGAAGGCAUUGAUUUCUGAUGAGCUAUUUAGGCAUUCAGAUAUGGAUGUGAAGCUAUAUGUUGCUUCUUGCAUUACUGAGCUUAUGAGAAUAACAGCACCAGUUCCUCCAUACAACGAUGAAUGGAUGAAGGAAAUCUUUCAGCUGACUGUAGCAGGUUUUGAGAAGCUUUCAUAUGUUUCCAGUCCCUUUUAUAGAAAGGCAGUUUCCAUUCUUCACAUUGUUGCAAAGGUUAGGUCAAGCUUGCUGAUGCUGGACCUUGGUUGCAGUGCAUUAAUUAUUGAGAUGUUCCAACAUUUCCUUAAAAUAACCCAGUUCAAUCAUCCGCAUUCUGUAUUUUCAGCCAUGGAAACUAUUAUGACCAUGGUUUUAGAUGAGAGUGAAGAAAUUCCUGUGGAUCUUCUCAAAGCUCUUCUAUCUAGUGUUAGAAAGGAAAAUCAGACCGUUUCACCAUUUUCUUGGAAAUUGGGGGAGAAAGUUAUAGACAAUUCUUCAGCUAAGCUUAAACCUUAUCUCGUGGAAGCAGUGAAGUCCAUGGACGUCGCUUUGGACGAUUACACUCAAAUAGUGGCUUCUGUGUGCCAGAAUGGAUCUGAUGCUGUCAAACAUAAUCAAGUCAAUGAUUCUGCGAAGAAUCUGGAAAACUUCUUCAUUAUCCAGGUGACCGAGGGGCCUAAGCCCAGUGCUUAUUGUCCUAGAGAAGUUGAAAAGACUGUAGCUGCUUCUACUGGGGAUGAACACGUCAGACAUAAAAAUUCUACUGCAAGAUUACGGCAUUGCCAUCAUACUAAACCCUCCAAGGUUAUUGAUUCAAGAGAUAGUGCUAAACCAGACAACUCCUCUUCAAAAGCUGUCAAAUCAGCAACUGAGCCAUGCUUGGCUCUCAAGAAGAGAGUCCAGAAGUCAAACUUUUUGAAGGAUCCAAAGGAAGGGUAUGACAAUGCUCAACCCAACAAUUCACUCUCUCUGAACAUUCUUAAAUCAGAAAUUGAGCCAUCCCCAGCCGCCAAAAGGAGAGGCAGGAAGCCAAAUUCUUCAAUGAAUCCGGCACAAGGCUAUGACCAUUCUUGGAUAAGUUGUGGGAGAAAAACUCAGAAACCAUCUUCCAGCAGUAAGUCUGAUUACAGGGGGUCUAAUCCUUCACGUACAAAAGAUUGUCUUUGUGUAAAAGCAGAUGUGCCCUUGAUACUUCAAAGUGCUAGGGAGCGACCUGGUUCCCAACCUAAAACUGAAAGGGAUAUUGGGGCUUUUCGGUUUGUUCUGAACAAUCCUCUUGGUGGAUCCCAACACAGAAAGGGCUGGCCGAAGAAGAAAGUUGUAGCAGACCAUGCUGCUAAUCCUAGUUCCCUUUCAGCUGUGAAGCAAGAGCUUGCUCAAGUUGAGGAGAGAACUCCACAAGAAGAAAAGCCCAAGCUGAGAAAGAAAUAUAAGGGGACUGUUAACAUAGGAGAAAGACUACGGGAGCAGCUUAGAGAUAUUAGACUUGCUGAAAAAACAAAUGGGGGCUGCACUCUUUCUUCUGUAAAUGUGGUCACAGAUAAGGAAUCUGAGGUUCCCAUUGAUCCUGGUAAAAAAUCACAUCAAAGCUUGUCUUUGGACGUAGAAACGAAGAGUACCACUGAUCAAUCAUCCGUCCGUCAGGUUAUUUAUAAAUAUAAGGGGAAUGGUACUUCUAGAAAGGAGAGUACUGAAGCAUCUGGUAGCAAGAUUUCCAAGUCUGCCAAAAAAAUGAAUAAAGAUAAUGAAGGAACCCCUAAAGUGGUUCUCAAGAGGAAGCAUUUCAUUGAAAAGGAAGAGAGCAGAAACAGUGAGGUAGGGGCAGCCUCUGUGGGUUUCAAUUUUCAACUGGAGAUUUAAUAUCUUAAGGAGCUCACAUUGGAUUUGGGACCAUGGUGUACUUUUUGAACUUGGGCCUCUCAAAUGCCUGAUCUUGGUGAACGGUUGGUUGACAGAAGAAUAAAGGUUUGGUGGCCACAGGAUAAAAAGUGAGUAUUGCAGAAUUGAUGAUAAAAAUGACAUGAUAUAUUUGUAAUUAGUCAAUAUUUACUUGCAUCUUAUACCGUCAGUGGUUUUCAUGUUUCUAUGUUUGAUAGUUUUUAUUGAUCAGUAGUGCCUUUAGGACUUGGAAACAUUGCGUAUCCAAGAAUAUUUUGCUAUAAUUAUAAGGAUCCAUGACAUUUAGUGGAUUUGGGUAGACACUGAUGAAUUAUGCUUGUGCAUAUUAUAAUUGGGUAUGCUUAGCUCAAGAGGGAACUCGCCAUUUUGUUUUUAGUUUUAUAAAUACUCUAGUUAGGCUUUUGCAGAACCAUGUGAGGGCUCAGCUGUGAAAUUUUAUACAAGAUGAAUUUACAGUUAACAUAAGAUAAAAAUUGAUGUAAACUCUUUAGUAGGUGUGAAACCCAGUCCGGGAAACAGAGAAAGGCAAUUGGGUGGCAGUUUACAUUUUGGUGAAAUUGUGGGCAUGGCUUGAAAAUGCAGUAUAUGCAUCAGUGAUGGAUUAUGAGACAAUGCUUGGAUCAAGUUAUGUUGGAUUCUUCCAAAAUGAAAAAAGGGAUUGCAAAUUAUAUUUUAAUGGUAAUUUAGGACUGUCAACUGAAAUUAUUCUGAAUGGGUUUUUUUUCUUGAAUAAAGGAGAAGGUUGAUAUAGUGAUAUAUGUCAUACAACAGGACCUUUUGGGGUGUAAAAAAUGGUGAAUGUGAUUUUUUGGCACUGAAUUUUGGAUUUGUAUUGUUUGCCGGGGAAACCAUAUCUCUGCUCUUGACCCAACGCAAGAAGUCAGUAUUUUGGCCAUGACUUGCAGGAGGUCUUCAUGUGUUAUUUUGUUUCCAGUUCUGAUCUUCAAAAGGUAUAGGUGAAAUUUCUGGCUUCCCAAGCUGCUAGAAGAUUCAAAACACCCCUGGGUUAAUGCUUUAUUCUUCAUGCCAUUUGUCUAUUCCCUUUUUAUAUGGCCCCACUAAAGUCUGUGACGGUGGAGUUUUAAGCCCCAAAUGAUUAUUUUCUUGCCUGAAAAUUCUGUCUCUGCAGGUUUUAUGAAGGUGUUGUUUCUUCUUACGACCCUGCCAAAAAGAAGCACUUGGUGUUGUAUACUGAUGGGGAUGAAGAAAAUCUGAACCUCAAAAAGCAGUGCUGGAAACUGAUUGGAGAUGGUUUGCCAGAUGUCAAAAUGGAGAAUCU